GAUCCUGGCUCAGGAUGAACGCUAGCUACAGGCUUAACACAUGCAAGUCGAGGGGGCGAGCAUGGUCUUAGCUUGCUAAGGCCGAUGGCGACCGGCGCACGGGUGAGUAACGCGUAUCCAACCUGCCUACACUCUUGGACAGCCUUCUGAAAGGGAGAUUAAUACCAAGAUGUUAUCAUGAGUAAGCUAUUUUCGCAAUGAUUAAAGGUUUACCGGUGUAAGAUGGGGAUGCGUUCCA
rnacentral:rRNA from 1 species